CGGGGAGUAGCGCAGCCUGGCAGCGCACCUGCUUUGGGAGCAGGAGGUCGCGGGUUCAAAUCCCGCCUCCCCGA
rnacentral:tRNA from 1 species